rnacentral:lncRNA from 1 species
CCUGUACACAUAUUGAACAGUGCCUUUUACCAUUAUACGGUCUUACAUUAUCUCACUACACACACAGCUAAAACAGACUUCUUCACCUGCAGAUUCUGCCUUGGUCAGCUCUAUUUCUGGCGUAAAGUUUUGGGGUAGCCACUUUGAAAACAGAAUUCUUACAGUUUAUGCAGCUAAGAUCAGGGACUCCCCGAUCCUUUCAUUUCCACCCUCUGUGCUAAAUUCAGUCUGUGUGGGGAAAUGGAUAAAAUGCUCACACACCAGCAAACUUCUUCCAGAUACUUCCUUUGUGGGAAGAAAAGAUGCCUUUGAGUGUGGAUUUCUCAAGCUUAAUUUCCUUUCCUAUUAUUGGAUGCUGUUAGGACAGCCUCACCACCCAACAUCCCCAUGGAUAUUGCAUCACCUGCAAAAUGGGUUAGGAAUGGAGCCCAUUGCAAAGAAAACACAGCCCAGAAGGAGAAGGGGCUCGCUUAUCACUCAGGAGAGCAGCGGGAGAGCUUAGGGCAGGGGCCUGGCUCCGAAUGACCUUGGCUUUUCUGGCUGUUUUGUCUACUCUGCUCAUCCGUCAAGGCUCAGCUCAAGUCUCCUAUUCUCUGCCCACUCCAUGCCACCUCCACCUCCAUUUGCUGUGGUCUGACUGUCCGUGAUCUGGCCCUGGUGUCAGGCUGUGGCUUGUGUUUUCCUGUAAGUCUCCUCUCCCUAAUCAAAUCAUAAGCCCCUUAAGUUGUGGAAGAAGCUGGGUGAGUGGGCCCUGUCUUCUCUGUCUUCUGCCUGAAUCCCAUCAUGACACUCAGCAAGUAGAAGUUCUCCAUAACCUUUGGAUGUGAAGUAAUUGUGUGCUUGGGUUUUCUCUCUGUGGAUGUGUUCUUGGUCAGGGAUUUUUAAACUCACUUAAAAUUCUGGGACAUUGAAGGCCAGAGAUGACAAGUACGUUUGAGGCAAGCAUCAUUUCCCUCUGAUGGAUUGCGUGUGACUGGAAUCCUCCACUGAGUAGGCCCGGUAUGUCUGGGCUCGGUGUGGAAAGGUGCUUAGCUCAAUUAGCAACGCCUGUCUUCUUGAGCACAGAGUGGUAAGGAGUGGCAAGUGUGCCACAAAUUUGCCAUGCUUGAUCUCAUCCAACUGCUUCAUCUUACAGUGGAAGAGACUGAGGUGCAGAGAGGGAAGUGACUUUAUCCAAGGAAAAUCAAUUUCCUAAAAGGACUUUGCACUUCGGGCGGUGAGCUAACACAUUGGCACCAUUCAGAAGCAGCUGCCUAGAGCAUGGUCUCCGUAAGACCAUCUUCUGCUUCCCUUUGAGGUGGUGGAUUUUGACAUGGGAAGACAUAUUAGGAAAAGGCAUGAGUCAGAUCUUCUGAAGCCGCUAAAGAGCAUAUUAAGCCACCGACAGCUUUUUCUGAUUUUUGGUUUUCUUGCAGUAGUUCAUCUGUUUUUCUUUUCUUUUUUUUUUUUUUUCCUUUUUAAUGUAAACAGACUUUCUCCUUUGUAGCCAGCCAAGUCUCCCCGGUGAAUUUGUUAGAGUAGGACAACUUUUAUGACUUCACAACUGAAAGAAUCGUAAAAAGCAACUGGAUGUCAUAAGAAUUGGUGCUGCUCCUUCUGAGAUCAGGCCCCAAGGUUUGAGCUGAGACUUGGCUCUCCUUGUUGCUUGGAAUUGGCCACACCAUGUCACAUUGCUUAGAGUCUACUUAGCAUUUCCUUCGUUCUG